GAGGAUAUAGCUCAAGUAGCAGAGCGCUUGCCUAGCAUGCACAAGGUCCUGGGUUCAAUCCCCUGUACCUCCU
rnacentral:tRNA from 1 species